CUCUUAUCCAGAGAAGGCUGAGGGAAUGGCCCUAUGAUGCCCGGCAACCUAGCUGGCAAGAUCACCGUCUUGCGAGCCAAGGUGCUAACUCCAACAGGUAGCGAUACCUGACAGAUAAGAG
rfam:Brevibacillus sp. CF112 PMI08_contig_168.168, whole genome shotgun sequence.